rnacentral:lncRNA from 1 species
CCCUCAUAGAUUAGCACAAGAGAUGGACCUAGCUCACAAACAAGCCAACCAUGUGUGAGGGUUGCCGGUUCAUUUCUACCUCUUCUAAAUGACUUCUAAGAGAGCAGCUAAAAGUUACUUAAAGUAAAAUGCGGUCAGGUUCAAAUAUUGGUCCUACAUCUGCCCUCUGCAAGGCAAUUAGGAGAGAUAGUAAGCCUUUAGCAGUUACUUUUGGAAGGAAGAAGGAAU